rnacentral:rRNA from 1 species
AUCAUUACAGAGUUCAUGC